CUUAAGUUGUAUACGACUAUAGUCACUUUUGUCACUGUUGGUCUAUAAUACCAUUGAAAUUGGAAAAAUAAUGAAUUUCACUGCAAUAUUUAAGUUUGAAUCAUCAAUGAUCCUUGUCUUUUGCGUCCUUGGAGCAGUCUUCUUCCUUGGAAUGCGUACGAGGCCGACUUCAGUCCUGCCAGCAGUGCACCUAUGUGACCCUGGACAGAUCGACUAUGAGCAGACACCUUCAGAAACAUAUGGGCAAGCCCCCCUUAGAGUGCCACUUGUGUCCAGCUGCAUUCGCUAAGAAGUCCAAGCUGGUGGCUCACGUGUGCACCCACACAGGAGAGCGCCCCUUCUCCUGUAUCCACUGCAAUGCGUCCUUUGUGCAGAAAAACAACCUGGUGAGACACACAUACAUACACA
rnacentral:lncRNA from 1 species